rnacentral:rRNA from 1 species
AUUGAACGCUGGCGGCAGGCCUAACACAUGCAAGUCGAGCGGAUGAGUGGAGCUUGCUCCAUGAUUCAGCGGCGGACGGGUGAGUAAUGCCUAGGAAUCUGCCUGGUAGUGGGGGACAACGUUUCGAAAGGAACGCUAAUACCGCAUACGUCCUACGGGAGAAAGUGGGGGAUCUUCGGACCUCACGCUAUCAGAUGAGCCUAGGUCGGAUUAGCUAGUAGGUGAGGUAAUGGCUCACCGAGGCGACGAUCCGUAACUGGUCUGAGAGGAUGAUCAGUCACACUGGAACUGAGACACGGUCCAGACUCCUACGGGAGGCAUCAGUGGGGAAUAUUUGACAAUGGGCGAAAGCCUGAUCCAGCCAUGCCGCGUGUGUGAGGAAGGUCUUCGGAUUGUAAAGCACUUUAAGUUGGGAGGAAGGGCAGUAAGUUAAUACCUUGCUGUUUUGACGUUACCAACAGAAUAAGCACCGGCUAACUUCGUGCCAGCAGCCGCCGUAACAC